rnacentral:misc_RNA from 1 species
GAUGAAGAACGCAGUGAAAUGCGAUAAUUAAUGUGAAUUGCAGAAUUCCGUGAAUCAUCGAGUUUUUGAACGCAUAUUGCGCCCCUUGGUAUUCCGAGGGGCAUGCCUGUCCGAGCGUCAUUGCAACCCUCCAAGCACGGCUUGUGUGUUGGACGGCCGCCCCAGUGUGGGCGGGUCCCAAAUGCAGUGGCGGCGCCGCGAUCCGGGUGCUCGAGUGCAUGGAAACCACGCGCUCGUUAGGCCCCGUCGGGCGCCGGCCGACCUAAUUAUCUUCGUUCUGGUUGACCUCGGAUCAGGUAGGAAUACCCGCUGAACUUAAGCAUAUCAAUAAGCGGAGGA